GAGAGAGAGAGGGAAGGGGGCGGGAGAGGGAGAUGUGCAUUUUGAUUAGUUUGAGUAAGAAAAAGUCAAGCUAAUCUAUACAGUACAGUAGAGAUUGUAACACUUUAGGUGGCUUCUGGGGAGGGGCUAAUUUUUUCAAAUGAUACUCUGUUAAAAACAAGUGGCAACCCCUUGCAUGUAGUACACAGACACAUCAGGGAGACAACUCCUCUGCACCCGCCUUCCUGGUAUGCUAGAUUACUACAAACAGGGAGGGCAUUAAAGCAUUUAUUUAAUGCAAGGGCAUUCAAAAAUGAGAUCACUGCUACACACAGUUUGAUGUAACAAGCAAGGUCCAAAGUUUUACCACUUCAUCCUGCAUAAUAGGAGGUUGCCCCUCUUCACUAAAAAUAGAUGUCAUGAAGGGGUGGCUGUGUUUUAUUUGUCCAGUACAUCUACCUUAUUCACAUUUCAUACAUGGGAUUUUCCCCCUUUGUACAAGGGGGAGGGGAAUGUCAGUGAGAGGAGUCUAACCUUUCUACAUUCCCACUUCGCCUCCCUGUGUUCUCUUGAGACACCUUCCUGUCAGUGAGGGUUGGAGGCAGGCUUAGAAAGGGAUGUCAGG